rnacentral:lncRNA from 1 species
CCCCAAUCAGGCCUGUAAAUAUUAGAGGGGAUACAUUUUUUAGUCAUCCCUUUUAAUGUCUUUUUUCCCAUUUGUAGUUUCCAUUUUCUCUUUAUUGAAUUUUUUUUUUUUUUAACAUUCAUAAAUACAUAGAAUUACUUUAGUUACAUUAAUAUAUAUAAAAAAAGAUUGCAGUUAUUUUACAUGUAACAAGACAUACUUAAACAUAGCAAUCAUUCAUAGUUAUUGGUUGGAAUUUAUAUAUUUAACAAAAGAAAAAUAGUAUGAAGAAAAAACCUGUUAUCUGUUAUGAUAAGGAGAAUGAAUAUUUAUAGGAAACAUUCUUUAAUCUAUUUUUAGCCAAUUAUCAAAAUGAUGUAUGUAUUUUCUAUUAUUAAACAUGCAACUCCCCUCUCCAUUUCUAGCUGGAAUAACAAUUGAGCUAUAAACUGUUUCAUAUCUGGUGUGGUUAUUUGUUUCCAAGUUCUUGCUAUUAGUAUCUUCGCAGCAAUAUGGGAGUGGAUAGUCAAUACUAAUUUGUCUCUUGGGAGUCUAUCCCAAUUAAGAUGGAGUAGACCUACCUGUGGGCAUUUUACAACUUUAAUAUUGAAGAACUCCAGAAAAAGAUAUACGGAUUCCCAUAAGGGAAUUAUCGAAUUAAGUCUAUUUUAUCGAAUUUAUCUGAGUAUUUAGACAUUCUUUUACAACCUUCAGUGAAACGUAUGAAUUCAUACCUAAAAGACUCGAUGUCCUUACUCCGCUUUUUAAAUACUUUUCAAUGGAAAAAUACAUAUGUUUUAGUGACCUGUGAUGUGCAAUCUUUGUACACCAUUAUUUGCCACAAAAAAGGAUGUUUAGCAGUUGAAAAAAUUUUAAAAGCUGAAAAGAAUAUCCCUGAUCAACAAAUAGAUUUUAUUAUCCAAGGUAUUAAUAUUAUUUUAAACAAUAAUUAUUUUUGGUUUUUAGAUUCUUUUUAUCUACAAAAACAGGGUACUGCUAUGGGGACCAGGUUUGCCCCCAGCUAUGCUAACCUUUUUAUGGCGGAUUGGGAAUCCACUGCCAUUUUGGGUAAACAUGGCUGGCGGGCGAGCCUGGUUACAUAUUUUAGAUACAUUGAUGAUUUGUUUUUUUAUCUGGGAUGGCCCAGAAGACUCUCUUAAUCAGUUUUUACAACAUCUUAACAAUAAUGACAAAGGUAUCAUUUUAACUUGGGAUUUUAGCAAAUCUUCCAUCAAAUUUUUAGAUUUAGAGAUUUUUAUUAAAAAUGAUCAAAUCUAUACUAAGACUUUUUUUAAGAAGGUAUGCACUAAUAACGUUAUUGAUGUAUCUAGUUGUCACCACAAACCAUGGCUUCAAGGGAUACCAAAAAGCCAGUUUCUCCGUUUACGUAGAAACUGUUCCCUUACACAAGAUUUUGAGGAACAGUCUCAAUUAUUGUCCAACAAAUUGUUUCAAAAAAAUUAUCCUAGAAACAAUGUGGAUCAAACGUUAAAAAAUAUCAGGACAACCAAUAGAUCUGAACUUCUUGAACAUAAAACAAAUAAAGAAAUGAAAAUUGCCCCAGUAUUGCCAAUUAUUUUCGACUUCAAUAACAAAAGUAAUGUUAUGAAGAAGAUCAUAAAGAAACAUUGGCAUAUAUUAAAAUAGGAUGAGACUCUGGCUGGGAUUAUCCCCGAAAAACCACAAGUUAUAUUUAGGGGGGCACCCAGUUUUAAGUCCAUCCUUACAAGUAAUUAUACUAAACAUAAACAUAGCACCUUAUCUCCUAGUCCUUCUACCUUUUUGAAUAAACCAAGUGGUUUUUAUAAAUGCAAUAGAUGCAUUGUUUGCAAGCGUACGAGUAAUAUUAUUAAGUCCAAAACUACAUCGUUCACAUCUACAAUCACACAGAAAAUAUAUCAAAUAAAACACUUUAUUCAUUGUAAUACCAAAAACAUGAUUUAUCUUCUGGAAUGUCCAUGUGGACUACAAUAUGUUGGCAUGACCACUAGAAAUUUAAAAACAAGAUUAGCCGAACACUGUAGGAAUAUCCUAAAAGGCUAUGAGAAUCAUUCUGUCUCAAAACAUUUCUUACAACAUGAUAAGAACCCAAAAUAUCUUAAGUGUUUAGGCAUAGACAUAUGUAAUGUCCCAUGGAGAGGCGGUGACAUUAAAAAAGUUCUUGGCAAAAGAGAAAUGGAAUGGACAUAUAAUUUGAAAACCCUUGCCCCAAAAGGUCUGAAUAUUGAUUUUGAUCUUUUUAAUUUUUUAUAAAAGUUGUUUUUUUAUUUUUUUAUUAAUUUUUUAGGUUUUAUCUUUUAGGCUUUAUUUUACACAUUUUCAAUUAUCUUUCAUAAUCUUACCUCUCCCCAUAUCUUAAUAUUAUCUUCUUUUAUGUACAUAUCCCCUUUUUUACUUUUUAUUUAUUUAUUUUUUAUACAACUUAUUUUAUAUAAUUGUAUAUGCUGUUCUCUGUGGCAGGGCUGUUGCACAAGUGUAUAUAUAUAUGUUCUGUGUGAAUACUGCCUUGUAAGAUUGUACUAUUAUACUAUGUCUUUUGUUUGCUCAUGUUUGGUUUUGAUCCCAUGGUUUGGGCACAUGCCUGCUGCUUGGGAGGACGGUCAGUGUGUGUUGUCAGCCACACGAAGGCUAUCUGCUUGUUGUUAUCAGCAGAUAGCCUUUUCUCUGCUCGAUUAAAUUUCUCCUCGAGCAUCAGGGAGAAUUCCUCCCCUUCUGUGAUGCAUGCGUUCCACACAAACGGAACGCAUGCGUUCCACCUAACAUCACGUGACGCGGAAGUGCCUAGAGAUCGCGCGUCACGUGAUUGUUUUCAAUAUGUUAUUUUUAGCUAUAAAAACCUUCGUUUUUUUAAUUAAAGUACUAUACCUAUCUCACAUUUACCAUAUUUAUAUAUAUGUAAGGAAAAUUAAUGUUUUUUUUGUCUGUACUAUUUUGAAUGUUCUGAUGAUGUCAUUAUGGCGGGAAUUUUAAACCCAUAACCCUAUUGUAUCCUAUAUAAACCUUGUAUGUCAGGUGUGUCCCCCCCUUUUUUCACUUUUAUCUACUUGAAGAAGCCCUUGUGGCGAAACGCGUCUAGAUAUUUUAUUACAUUACAAUAAAGAAUUUUUUGGCAUAAAAUACUUUAUUGCCAUUUUUUCUUGCUUGUUUUUCGCCUGACUAUCCAUAUUGCCUAAUUUCAGAAGAAGUUUAAAGAAUCCAUAGGUGGGGAUUAUACCACCCAAGCGCUUAUAGUGAGCAGUAUAUACCUUCUCAAAAGAAUGUGAGUAAUAUUCAUUUUAUAAUUUUAAUAUUUUACUGCAACACAGAGAGCACUAUAUAUUUUUAUUUUCUUCUUCUGGGUCUGUACUUUGGACGUUGAACGUGUACCAGAGAAUCGCCAUCUGAAGUCUACUACAUAUAUCCUUGAGUGGGGAUCAUUCCACUUCAUGUGUUUUACAUCAGAGCUGGAUCCUCAGCUCUGAAAAUUGUGAGUAAGACCUAUCUUAUUAUCUCAUUUUCAACGUAUCUACAUACUGUACCAUUGGAGUCCUUUUUCUUCUUUUCUCCACAUAUGCUCCAUUGAAUCCUAUAUGACCUUACUCCAUGUAACGGACCGUUUUGCACACAAGGGGUAAAAACCGUUUAGGCGAUCGGCCCCCUUUCCAGAGAUCCAGGCACAGCUACUGCAGAACACCAAAACUCACGAACUGGAUACAAAAUAGCACUCCAACUCCCGAACUGGAACCUCCCAAAUAGCUGCUAGCAGACGAACAG